CGUGCAGGCGGCUUGUUUAGUCCAGGGUGAAAGCUCCCGGCUCAACUGGGAGAGGUCCUUGGAUACUGGCAGGCUCGAGGGAGGUAGAGGAAAGUGGAAUUCCCGGUGUAGUGGUGAUAUGCGUAGAUAUCGGGAGGAACACCUGUGGCGAAGGCGGCUUUCUGGGCCUUACCUGACGCUGAGACGCGAAAGCGUGGGGAGCGAACCGGAUUAGAUACCCGGGUAGUCCACGCCGUAAACUAUGGACACUAGGUGUGGGGGGUAUCGACCCCUUCCGUGCCGAAGCUAACGCAAUAAGUGUCCCGCCUGGGGAGUACGGCCGCAAGGCUAAA
rnacentral:rRNA from 1 species